rnacentral:snRNA from 1 species
AUAUAUUUCUCGGCCUUUUGGCUAAGAUAAGUUUGAUAUCUGAUGACCUAAGCUACUUGUGGGUUUAGGGGGUGAACUUAAUUAUAGGUUCACCCUGAUAUUAUUUUUUCAAGAGGAAGGAUAAUAACUUGCUACUUGGAUUUUCUUCUGUGUCACUUUUGCUUUGCACUUCUGUGAGGGUUUGACACACAGUUG